GAAAUGCGAUAAGUAAUGUGAAUUGCAGAAUUCCGUGAAUCAUCGAAUCUUUGAACGCACAUUGCGCCCGGUGGCAUUCCGCCGGGCACGCCUGUCCGAGCGUCAUUGCAACAAUCAAGCCCGGCUUGGUGUUGGGGGCCCGUCGUGCCCGGCACGACCCCCCCGGAACCCGUUGGCGGUGGCCCUCGGCCCCGAUCGUCGCGCAUGUUACGACGGGGCGGAGGGCCGCCCGCCGGACCCCCACGACGCGAAGUUUGACCUCGGAUCAGGCGGGGAUACCCGCUGAACUUAA
rnacentral:misc_RNA from 1 species